rnacentral:tRNA from 1 species
GGCCCAUUAGCUCAGUUGGUUAGAGCGUCGAUUUUCACGCGAAGGUCGCGGGUUCGAUCCCCCCAUGGGCCA